rnacentral:lncRNA from 1 species
UGUUUUCUUAAUUUCCUUUUUAGAUUAUUCAUUAUUACUAUUCUGUAACAUUGCAACUGAUUUUUUGGACAAUUUUCUUGGUCUUUAGAAUUUUUUAUUUAAAUUUUUUUUAAUAAAUAAAAAUCAUGUUUUCAGUGAGCAGAAAUAGUUCUACUUUUCCAACUUGUAUAUACUUUCUUUUUCUUGCUUAAUUUCUCUGGCUAAAAAAUUCUAAAUACUGUGUUAAAUAGAUGGGCCAAAGUGGGCUUCUUUGUCCUAUUUCUGAUUUUGGGGGAAAGUUUCAGUCUUUUACCAUUGAGGGUACUAUUAGCCGUGAGUUUUAAUAAAUCUUUUAUUGUGUUCAGGAGAUUUACUUCUAUUCCUAGUUUACUGAGGUGUUUUUUUGUUUGUUUGUUUGUUUGUUUUUUGUUUUCCUGCAUCUCAGCAUGUGGAAAUUCCAGGGCCAGGGACUGAACCCAUGCCACACCACUGAUAUGAGCCACAGUAGUGAUAAAGCCAGGUCCUUUAACCACUAGAUCACCAGGGAACUCCAAUUGUGUUUUUUACGUUUUGUUUUGUUUUGUUGUUUGUUUUUUGUUUGUUUGUUUUUAGAAUGUAAUACUUUAUUCACUACAAGGAUGGAGGGGGAGGUGAGCACGUUUCCAGGGACCCUGGUAGGGGAUAUUCCCUGCCUCUCAGUUCCAGGGCAGCCAGGCCUGCCCUUCCACCCUAUCCCAGACACCAGGUACAGAGUGGAGAGGAGUUGUCCAGGUUAAUGCAGCCCCUGGUCUGCAUCCCAGUGUGCCCCUCCCUGGCCUGAUGGUCAUACCCCAUGGCGACAAGAAUGGCACCUCACGGGCCCUCACAGUCUGAACAGUGCUUGGUGGCAGUGGUGGUGGUAGUGCCAGGUGGGAGCUUGAAGUCCCAGCCACAGCCAGCGCAGAUGUAAAGAUGUGGCACGUGCACGCAGGGGUGGUGGAUGAAGUGCCAGCUGAGGCAGAGCCUUUUUUUUUUUUUUUAAAUCAUGAAAGGGUGUUGGAUUUUUUCAGGUGCUUUUUCUGCAUUAGUUGAGAUGAUCAUGUUUGUUUGUUUGUUUUCCUUAUCUUAUUAAUGGCAUAUAUUACAUAGUUUUUUUGUGUGUGUGUAUUGAAUCAUCUUUGCACUUCAGGAAUAAAACUCACUUGGUCUUGGUGUGGAAUCCUUUUACUAUUCUGCUGAAUU